UUGUUUUCUACUCCCUGCAGUGUUUUAUCUCAAAAAACGGCUUGUGACUUAAGGAAGACGGUGCAAAUCCGUCGCGGACCCGCCACUGUGAGGAAAGCUUACCUUUCCAAGUCAGAUACUUAUGUCACCGGCUAUAACUGGCUGCACCUCGCGGAUACGGGUUCUCAGACAGGGAAUAGCACCACAUGUUGGGCUGAUU
rnacentral:misc_RNA from 1 species